rnacentral:lncRNA from 1 species
GUUCCCAAGGAGAUAUGUUACAUCCUACUCCCUGGAAGCUAUGAAGGAGAUCUUACUUGGAAAACAGGUUUUUGCAGAUGUAAUUACACUACAGAUCUCAAGAGGAGAUCACCCAGGGUAGGGCUAAGCCCUACCUACACCCAGGCACUGGUGUCCUGAGACACAGAAACAGUACGAGGCCAUGAGAAGACUGAGGCAGAGAUUGGAGAGAUAGGGCCACAACCAACAGUGUCAGCAGCCACCAGAAGCCAGGAGAAUCACCAGGCCUGCAGGGCCGUGUGGCCCACCUGCGCCCUGGCCUUCCGCCCUCCAGGCCCUGGGUGAGAACACUUUUCUGUUGCUUGGAGCCACUAAGCUUGUAAUCGUGUGUCACAUCAACACAGCCCUUUGACCAGCAGGGCGAGAACGAGGUCCUCACCAGAGCUCCAGUGGAGGCCCCAGGGGCUGUGGGGCUGAGGCAGGAGGAUCGCCAUGAGCUCU